AUCCUUACGUAUAUCAUUGAAGCCCGAUGAUCCUUCGAUAAUUGCGGGCUAUCAGUAUGAUCGAGUACCACACAUACUUAAGGCUCGUUUAUAAACGUGCGUUACACAUAUGAGCGGGCAAAUUGUGUGGAAGAACUUUUAGUGAUUCUGCAGACAAACACACACUCGCACACAACACGUUUAUGUGGAUAAUCUUCUUUCUCGAAGUCGAGUUUAUUAGCUCUUGGUUAAAAAGAGUGAUAUGUCGCGAUAUGCGGAUGGAAAAAGUCGGAGAGGGGGAGAACAUCGAGAAGUUCGCUGAGAGAACCACGCCCUGUAAACAUCUCGUGUGUGCUGCCCUCUUCACCUCUAUAUCUGUAGAUAUUUGUGUAUACAAUAUCCGCCACGUUUUGUGCACUGCCUUUCCAACUUUCUGCUGGGUCUCUUGGGUCGCUCGUAAUCUUUCGGUGAGAACUUUUAGUGUAGACCUUCGUACAACCUGGAAAAAGGAAAUUCAUUGGAAAUGAAUUAUUUGGGGAUCGAAUUACCAUCAUUGAUUUCAACGAUUGUCGCUCGCGAUCCCACACGGAGAGAAAAAAAUAGUAAGAAUUACUAUGCAACCAUAAAAAAAAGUUAUAAAACCAAGUGUA